GACGAACGCUGGCGGCGUGCUUAACACAUGCAAGUCGAACGGAAAGGCCCUGCUUUUGUGGGGUGCUCGAGUGGCGAACGGGUGAGUAACACGUGAGUAACCUGCCCUUGACUUUGGGAUAACUUCAGGAAACUGGGGCUAAUACCGGAUAGGAGCUCCUGCUGCAUGGUGGGGGUUGGAAAGUUUCGGCGGUUGGGGAUGGACUCGCGGCUUAUCAGCUUGUUGGUGGGGUAGUGGCUUACCAAGGCUUUGACGGGUAGCCGGCCUGAGAGGGGGACCGGACACAUUGGGACUGAGAUACGGCCCAGACUCCAACGGGAGGCAGCGGUGGGGAGUAUUGUACAGUGGGCGGAAGCCUGAUGUGACAACGCAGCGUGCGGGAUGACGGCCUUCGGGUUGUAAACCGCUGUCGCCUGUGACGAAGCGUGAGUGACGGUAAUGGGUAAAGAAGCACCGGCUAACUACGUG
rnacentral:rRNA from 1 species